UACGAAGGGGGCUAGCGUUGUUCGGAAUUACUGGGCGUAAAGGGCGGGUAGGCGGCCGAUUAAGUUAGAUGUGAAAGCCCUGAGCUCAACCUGGGGACUGCAUUUAAUACUGGUUGGCUUGAAUUCGGGAGAGGAUAGCGGAAUUCCCAGUGUAGAGGUGAAAUUCGUAGAUAUUGGGAAGAACACCGGUGGCGAAGGCGGCUAUCUGGACCGACAUUGACGCUGAGGCGCGAAAGCAUGGGGAGCGAACAGG
rnacentral:rRNA from 1 species